CGCGUAGGCGGCCUGAUAAGUAGGGGGUGAAAUCCUGCGGCUUAACUGCAGGGCUGCCUCCUAGACUGUCGGGCUCGAGCACGGUAGAGGCAGAUGGAAUUCCCGGUGUAGCGGUGGAAUGCGUAGAGAUCGGGAAGAACAUCGGUGGCGAAGGCGGUCUGCUGGGCCGUUGCUGACGCUGAGGCGCGACAGCGUGGGGAGCAAACAGGAUUAGAUACCCUGGUAGUCCACGCCGUAAACGAUGGACACUAGGCGUCGGGGGGAGCGACCCUCCCGGUGCCGUCGCUAACGCAGUAAGUGUCCCGCCUGGGGAGUACGGCCGCAAGGCUGAA
rnacentral:rRNA from 1 species